ACAAUUUAUUUGUUUCCGCCCUCAAAUCCCUAUCUCCAAAUCCCUCUUCCUCUCUCGCUUUUGAGAGAAAACCCGGAUCCCCAGCUCGAUCACUUCUUCCCCAAAUUCAAACUCAAUAUUGGUUCAGCGGCAAGAUCCCCCUAAAGUUCGAUUGAUUGAAGCUCCUCUUCGAGCUCAAUGUCAGCAACAAUCGAUUUGCCGGGAAAUUUCCUAGGGUAGUUCUCCGGCUGCCGUCAUUGAGGUACCUAGAUCUGAGAUACAACAAAUAUCGUUGCUUUGAGUUCACUUCCGAGUGGCAAACUUCAAGCGUCGAAAACUUUAGAAAUCUCCUUGAUUACAGCUUUAUUGUAGGUAGGGGGAGAUUAAGAUGUCUGAGAAUGGAUUUGAAAAUGAGGAGAAGGAUGAUUUAGAUCACGGCGUCACGGAGAAAGAUGCUUCCUUGUUGGGCAAGUGGAGCAUUGGAUCCAGAAAGCACUGCUUCUCAUGACCUUGUUACAUCUGUAAAGAGUUUCGAGCUCUAUCUGAUCAAUUUUACCGCACUCCUAAACACCACAAGUUUGUAUGACAACAAGUCAUCACUCAGGUCUGUCCAUCAUUGCCAACAGCUAUAUUAACUUGUUUCAUUUCGAUUGUUUGUCCUACUCCACUGAUGAAAAGGGCACCGAAGAUCGUACUUAACCUACGGUGAUGCACGAAGAUUUCAAUGAAGGCAUCAUUCAAGUUCAAGCCAAGAAGAAAUCCAGCUUGAAUUAUUAUGCUUAAUAGAGUGAUCGCAUUUUGUUAUGGACAGUGCAGAGUUUAAAGCACAUGGUUGCUGCGAUGAACCCUAAGACCUGUUUCCUACCAGGGACCGAUCCAUAUAUACCCAGUUAAUGUGGAGGAGCUCAUGACCCGACUUUAUACAGAAGUCUAUGUAUAACUUUAGCGUUGUAUUUUCACUUAACAUUGUAGACGUCUUUAGUAUUUUCGUUAGUUUUUUUUUUUAAAUCUGGGUUGAAAUAUAGUUCAUCUGAGUUUUGUUGUCGCCAUGACCUUGUACUGAUAUUAUUUGGCACCGCUGUUUGUUUCCAAGUUUCAACCUAUAAUUGAAAUGUCCAUCAUUGCCAACAA